rnacentral:rRNA from 1 species
CAGAGGGGGCAAGCGUUGUUCGGAAUUACUGGGCGUAAAGGGCGCGUAGGCGGCCCGCUAAGUCGAACGUGAAAUCCCCAGGCUCAACCUGGGAACUGCGUCCGAUACUGGCAGGCUUGAAUCCGGGAGAGGGAUGUGGAAUUCCAGGUGUAGCGGUGAAAUGCGUAGAUAUCUGGAGGAACACCGGUGGCGAAGGCGGCAUCCUGGACCGGUAUUGACGCUGAGGCGCGAAAGCUAGGGGAGCAAACGGGAUUAGAUACCCCGGUAGUCCUAGCCCUAAACGAUGAAUGCUUGGUGUGGCGGGUAUCGAUCCCUGCCGUGCCGAAGCUAACGCAUUAAGCAUUCCGCCUGGGGAGUACGGUCGCAAGGCUG